rnacentral:lncRNA from 1 species
UGCUAUAGAAGAGGAAGUUCCUCUUUAGGAGCAACUCAUCGAAUUAGAUCAAGGUAGCAAAACUGAAUUGCGCAUAUUCUAGAGUUUUUUAAGAGUUCAACAUUAUGCCAUUCGAUAAGUAUUUGGACCUAAAACUUUUUAUUUCAGCUCAAACUUCUGAAGAAAAGGAAGAUAUGUGUGCUGGUGAAACUGAGCAACCAACAAUGGAGGAAAAGGUCGAAGAAAGUGAAGAUACUGACAACAACGCCUCUGAAUCUUCAAAAUGUCACGUUCCUUGAAUAGAAGAACAAUAGGAGGCAAUCCAAAACAACUCUUCCCCUAACAAGAUUGCAAGUGGAGGGGGUGAUACUUAACUCCCAUCUCGAUUGAAUCAUUCACUUAAUAUCGAACAAAGUGCACCUAUUCUUGCAACUUCCAUAGCACAAUCAAG